rnacentral:tRNA from 1 species
GCCGGGAUGGCGGAAUUGGCAGACGCAGCGGACUUAAAAUCCGCCGGGGCAACCCUUGUGGGUUCGAGUCCCACUCCCGGCA